GGCCUACGGGGGGCAGCAGUGGGGGAUAUUGCACAAUGGGGGGAACCCUGAUGCAGCGACGCCGCGUGAGCGAUGGAGUACUUCGGUAUGUAAAGCACUGUCAGCAGGGAAGAAAAUGACGGUACCUGACCAAGAAGCCCCGGCUAAAUACGUGCCAGCAGCCGCGGUAAUACGUAUGGGGCAAGCGUUAUCCGGAAUUACUGGGUGUAAAGGGAGCGUAGACGGUUAAGUAAGUCUGGAGUGAAAGGCCGGGGCCCAACCCCGGGACUGCUCUGGAAACUAUUGAACUUGAGUGCAGGAGAGGU
rnacentral:rRNA from 1 species